GACGAACGCUGGCGGCGUGCUUAACACAUGCAAGUCGAACGGAAAGGCCCUGCUUUUGUGGGGUGCUCGAGUGGCGAACGGGUGAGUAACACGUGAGUAACCUGCCCUUGACUUUGUGAUAACUUCAGGAAACUGGGGCUAAUACCUGAUAGGAGCUCCUGCUGCAUGGUGGGGGUUGGAAAGUUUCGGCGGUUGGGGAUGGACUCGCGGCUUAUCAGCUUGUUGGUGGGGUAGUGGCUUACCAAGGCUUUGACGGGUAGCCGGCCUGAGAGGGUGACCGGCCACAUUGGGACUGAGAUACGGACCAGACUCCUACGGGAGGCAGCAGUGGGGAAUAUUGCCCAAUGGGCGGAAGCCUGAUGCAGCAACGCCGCGUGCGGGAUGACGGCCUUCGGGUUGUAAACCGCUUUCGCCUGUGACGAAGCGUGAGUGACGGUAAUGGGUAAAGAAGCACCGGCUAACUACGUG
rnacentral:rRNA from 1 species